AUGCUUCUGCCUGUCAUUCACAGGGUUGACCGCAGGCUAUCCGGCUGGCUUGCCACUUUCCUUUCCUGGGGCGGCCGUCUCACCCUUGUUAAUUCUGUGCUUGCCUCCAUCCCCAAUUACUUCAUGGCAUGCUUCAUAUGGCCACAACAAUCCCUGGACAAGCUGGAGCGAAUACUACGAGGCUUUCUUUGGCAGGGAAAGAACUCGGCAAAUGGUGGACACUGCUUGGUAGCGUGG
rnacentral:rRNA from 1 species